rnacentral:rRNA from 1 species
GAUGAACGCUGGCGGCGUGCCUAAUACAUGCAAGUCGAGCGAACAGACGAGGAGCUUGCUCCUCUGACGUUAGCGGCGGACGGGUGAGUAACACGUGGAUAACCUACCUAUAAGACUGGGAUAACUUCGGGAAACCGGAGCUAAUACCGGAUAAUAUAUUGAACCGCAUGGUUCAAUAGUGAAAGACGGUUUUGCUGUCACUUAUAGAUGGAUCCGCGCCGCAUUAGCUAGUUGGUAAGGUAACGGCUUACCAAGGCAACGAUGCGUAGCCGACCUGAGAGGGUGAUCGGCCACACUGGAACUUGGACACGGUCCAGACUCCUACGGGAGGCAGCAGUAGGGAAUCUGCCGCAAUGGGCGAAAGCUUGACGGAGCAACGCCGCGUGAGUGAUGAAGGUCUUCGGAUCGUAAAACUCUGUUAUUAGGGAAGAACAAAUGUGUAAGUAACUAUGCACGUCUUGACGGUACCUAAUCAGAAAGCCACGGCUAACUACGUG